rnacentral:pre_miRNA from 15 species
UGCCAGGCUGAAAUCUUUGGUAUUUAAAAGGUAGAUUUUCCUUUUAUGGUUACGUUUUGAUGGUUAAUCAUAGAGGAAAAUCCACGUUUUCAGUACCAAAUUCUGCUUCUGAGACCU